UGUUAUUUUUUUAUAAUUAUCAAUUUUAUUUUCAAUUACAGGAAAUGCGUUCUAUAUAUUCAUGAAAACGUGUAACGCUUAAAACGUUUCGUAAACAACGAUACAAACAAGCAAAACGACUAGAAACUCGUUAAAUGUCGAGUAAUUCGCCUUGAACCCUGCCCCGCGAAGCUUGUCUAUCGUGGAAAAAGAAUCUUAAAAAGAGGCAAGGAUACAGGGAAAAUCACUGUAAUUACGGUUUGAUAACACACCUAGCUUAACGUAAUCGGCGAUGCUUAUGAUCACAUCGACGCCACACGUAUGGAAUCUUAUUUGACGCAAAGAAGAGUCAGACAACUUUUCAGUUCCGUGUGUGUUAAUGACAAGUUUUAAUCGUGAGAAUUCCAUAAAAUUUAAGUACACUGCAAAUUUCAUUAUCAAUUGUGUUUUCACUGAUCCAUGAAAUCGUUUAAAUUUAUAUUUUGAAUUGUUAUUUAUAAAUGUAAAAUAUAUAAUAUUAUUAUUAGGCUUAUAAAACAUUAUAAAAAAAAGUUAUAAUAGUUUUACGCGAGAAAUUUGAUAGAUUAAUAAUCGAAUGAUUUUUAUCGGAAUUUUUAAAGAUUAAAUGAAACAAUAUAAAUUUCAAAACGAUGAAAAAUAAUUCUACGUUCCAGUAAUUUAUCAAAACAUAUAAUUAAGAAGUUAAUAAAGGAAAUACUUAAGAAACUCUAGUCUUACGAAACGUGUCUAAUAUAAAGACUACAAGAACUAUAUUGAUAAAACAACCGAGACGCGUAAUAAUCGUACAAUUAAAAAUAUAAUGUUUUUUUACUCGAAGAUAAAAGAAGAAUCAUUCAACAGAAUUAUCAGAGAACCAAUUGUUAAACCUAAAAUCUUUUAAUGCACAAAUAUCAUCGAAUAAACGAUCAAACGAUUGCUUUACUAAUUAACUAAUUGCAACAAUCGCAGAAGAAUAUUCGUAGAUUUUGUUAUACAUUAAAAUUUCCUCAGAUCACGAAAAAAAAAUAUAUAUGUAUAUUUUCAAGUUCUAAUUCGAUGACCAAAGGAAUAUCCAGAAAGAACCGCAAGAUUCCACUUCGCCAAUCUAAUAAAAGGCCAGGCUGAACGGCUCAAUCCACGGCCGAUCCGAUUCAUUUUUUUCUCAACGGCUACAUUUUUUUCCCGAUCGCCGCUUUUUCUGCGAGUUCGCGAAGGCGCAAGAUAAAUGGCCGACCCAGGCAUUCUGCCCGCGGCGUGCAAUCAGCUCGACACAAUACGUUCCUCUGUAAACCGGAAUACGUCACAGCUAAUGGUCCACCUUGAACCCGUUAUCCUGAGGACUCCAUUUGGGACCGAUGGGAUCGACUCGUGAGAGGAAAGAAAAAGGAAAAAGGCGGGGAGGAAAGGAAAGAGAAAGAGAGGAAGAAGAAGGGAGGGGAAAAAAAAAAAGAAGAAGAGGGAACCGUGUCGAGGCGUAUCUAUGCCGAUGUUUCAAGGGUGUAGCGAGAUAUGCGGUUGCAGGUUGCCGGCAAAGGUCGUCGGGAGGCUUCGAGUUCCAGAUAGUUCCCACGUGCGUCACGGUGAAGGCAUCAUGGGGAAUGGCGGAGUGUUUCCGACAUAAAAACUUACUUUGCCAGUCCGGAAGUCGAGGAAAGGAGCCGGUGCCUCGUGUAACAGCGUCUGAAAGUGGCUCCGGGCACGGCGCGUGCAGGACGUGAUUGUGUCGCGGCUCUUCCCUCUCUCUCCAUCCUUCCACCACUCCGAUACCACUCUCCUCGUCUACCACCACCUUCUCCACGUUCAUCCCCUACCACGUACGCCUUUUCGCCGUGCGCGGCUCCUUUUUGCUCCUCUUUCGCUUCUCCACGCCACGGUAGAGCGGACGGCUCCCACCGCCUCCGCUCGACCACGACUACACAGCCCCGGCUCGUGCUGCUUUUGCUGCUCUUGCUGUACCUAGCAGAUUCCCAUUGACGUAGGUAGCUACGAUUUUCGAAAAUAAUCAUCCUUCUCGAAAAUUUUUCUUUUCUGUUUUUUUUUUCCUUCUUCCUCUUUUUUCUCGUGAAGAAGGUCAGUUUGGUGAAUUUUCGAUGGAUUUUUUCUUAUUUUGUAGGGAAGAAUGUGAAUAUAUCUGAUGGCGUUUCAGUAAUUUCCUUUUCAUAUAUUUUUUUUUUCUUUCUUUACUUUGAGGAAGAACGAAUUGAAAGGAUUUAAAAAAUUUUCUUCACGAUUCUUGUUGUAUAAUAAAAUAUCUAUUUAAAAAUAAAUAUAGAAAUAGAAAAUUCUAUAACUCAAUCGUAAGUUUUUAUUCAAUAUUUAUAAAAAUAUGUACAAACGCUCGUUAAAAAUUAUAAUUAUAAGAGAGAGAUCAACUCCACUUUCCGAUCCCUGUUCUGAACCAUUUCUCUAAGAACCUUUUCAUCGCAAUUCUCGAAAGAAAACCACGAACCGCAGAAAUAAUCUUCCCCCGAUAUUUCUUUAUUUCCUUCCAGCAGAAGGCAGAAUGUUUCGGCAAAAAUAAAAACUGGUGUCCUCCCUUUGUUCGACGGAAUGGAGGCCGCAGAAGAAAACAUCACGGAUACCCGUUCCCAAUCGGAAACGUGGAGGCCGCACCAGCGAUCGAUUUGUAAAAGUGGGGCGACAAUCGGGGAUCCGAUCGCCUGGUGGCAUUUCACGAUCGAUUGCCUCGUAAUCGUCAUCUCGAGCGACGUGUCUUCUUAUCGAGGGCCACGGCAUAUAUACCGGUUGACAAAUCGGCUCGUUAAGGCUCGGUAGUUACGCCAGUGUUCCUAGGCAAGGCGCGUGGCUGGAAUGCGGCGCGACCGUGCUGUCGCGAGCGACUGAAACGCGCCGUGGCCAAUGGGAAAAGGGGAUUGAGAAGCUGGCUUUCCGGCUAGCUGCCGUCAAAUCAAACGAUAUUCUGCAAACCUGCAAAUCUCUCUCUUCCUCUCUCUACUCCUUUCCCCCUCCCUCUCUUUCUUUCCCCCCUCUCUCUCUCUCUCUAAUUCUUUUCGUUUCUUUUCGUUUCUUUUGAGCAGAGGUGUGGUCGUUAAUUGGUUUCUCUUGUCUUGAUUAGAUGGUUUUUGAAGAAGGAAGAUAAUGUUAGCUAUAAAAUCUGAGGUGACAUAGCUUUGUUUGCGUUAACGUGAAAGAUGUGUAAUAAAGAGUGUAUCAUUUUAUACUUAAUGCUAAUGAUAAUAGCAUCUCGGUUAUGUCUUAGAAGCAUUUCUAUUAGAUGAUAUCAUUGACGGAGAUGGGAAUACUGCGUUGAAUUAUAAUUUAAAGAAGUAGUAAAGAGUAAAUUUAAAGGAUAUAAUUUUUGCGCCAAGUUCUCUGGGGUUAAGAAACGUAAGAACGUUUUGCGUAGAGUAAUUCUAACAGCGUGCAUUUAGCGAUUGAACGAGCGGAAUAAGAAAUAGUUUCAUUGAAUGAGGGACAGAAGAGAAUUCUUCGGGUCAAGAAAAUCAUUCUGGAAAUUCCAACAGUUAAACAAGCUUUCAGCAACCCCUUCACGUUUUAACUCCUAUAACAAUAAAAAUUCAAGGGGGGGGGGGGAAAUUAUUCCUUAGAGAAAGAGGAUUGAAGAAUGCGAAGAAGGAUAAAAAGAUUGUUCGCGAAAUCAUGAUCAUCUUAAUAUUCUAAAUGUUCUCAGAAAUUUUAUCGAAGUAAUAGUAUUUUUUAUGCCAAUUACCUAAUAACCACAAAGACACUUGUAACAAAACUUCUUUUCCUCGUUAAGAAGAAAACAGAUUAUUCACACCGUAUAAUUUUAAUAGUUUUUUAAAUAUUUCUACGAAUUCUCAAAAAUCUUUUCAUAAAAAUUUGAUAAUCAUAUUAUUAAUGAUAAUAAAUCUUUUUCCCUUCUUAGCAUACAUAAUCUCAAAACUAUUUUGCAAAUCAGAUUCUAAAACAUUUUCAAAAUCAUCUUCAUUAAUCUAUUAAUUCCCCAACAUAAUUUAGAAAUAGUCUCUUUCAAUAAAUCCAAUUGACUCGAAAUUUACAACACCCAUUCUCUCUCUAAACUUUUCCAAUGAAUUGUAUCGUCGAUUAUCCCGUCUGAACCUUGGACCAACGUAUAGAAAACGACGACUAACCGAUGUCUAUGAGUCAACAUGGGCCUCUGGAAGGAGAGAAUCCUCGCCACAGGCUGUGUCCUUUAAUCAGCGACACUAUAUAUACCUAGGGAACGCACGGUGCUUAAUAAGAGGGACCGACUUAAUUACGAGGAUAUAUGGCGAACGUUGGAGGCAGCAGUCCCUACCUUCGAAUCGCGCGCACCUUGGCUCUCUAUAUCGAAGCGAAGGAAUUUUCAGUGAAGGAAGUCGGAUGAAAUGGAAUCGAGGCAUUUUCGAUAUUUAUAAAAUGAAAAAGAGGAAAGGAAAAAGGGCGCGAAGUAUUUGUGGGCUACACCUACCUGGGCAAAGCAUCGAGGCAAGGGCAUCGAUGCGCGGCACGAAUCGUGAUUUAUGUAGUGGUACCAGGGUAUAUGGGCUCCGGGGUAUAUCAUUGUUGCCAUCACAAUGGCACGAAAUGCAAUACUCGUACUCUAUCGGGUGCGCUUUCGCAUAAUGUGUCAUAAAUAGGCGGCACACAACGCCGCUCGCAUACCGUGGUGAAACAAUAACCAUUGUGGUGGAUGGUGGGCACUACCUAUGGACUCACCACCGUGCCGGCUACGCGAAGCGCAAGAUUUUUAUCUGAAAAGAGCCUUGACGCGCAGGUGGUCUUAUCAGGCCGGCGAGAAACACCUCUCCACCAUAAGCGUUCAUAAGUCACGCGAAUUCGUUGAUUUUAUUAUACCCUUGAAUUAUGUAAAGAUUGACCGAGAAACGUUUACCUGGCAUUGGUUCGCGUUUUAAUUUUUUUUUUAAGAAGAAAAUUGAGAUUCUUCGUCUCUUUACCAUAAAAUGAUAUUUAAAAUGAUAUUUGAAUAAGCAUUCGUCCUCCUUCCGUAGAACCGUAAAUGUAUAAACGUAAUACGUUGAUCGUUUUUAUGGAUAAUAAAAUGGCCGAGGUAACGAUGACAGCUAGAAGAAGAUUUCUCCAGAUUUGUAAAUUAUAAAUAAAUAUCGCUUUGCCAUACCUGUUAAUGUUAAUCGAAUGAUUUCAUUCGAACAUUUACAGUCAAGAUUCCAAGUAAAACAGAGGCCAUUAAGGUUUGAGAUAAAAAAAACUUUUUUCGAUUCGAGAAAAAAUAAAAAUUCCAAGUCUCAAAAUUUCGUAAAAAUUUAUUAUUUAAUUCCAAAUUCCAACGCCAGAAAAAAAAAAAUCUUCCCAAAAAAUUUCUCUUAUAUUUCCAGAAUAUUCCAUUUCAGAAUAUUCUUUUCAUUAUAAAACUAAAAAUAUUUAAGAAAUCGUUUAAGAAAUCAAAACCACAAAAAUCAUCUUAUAAAUCAAAGAAACCUACUUGACAACAUCCGAUUAAACGAUAUAUCUAUUUUAUCGUCUCGAUAAAAUAAACAAUCAUCCAUUUAUCUAUUCUUGGAUGUGGAAAGCUUUCAAAUUCUCAUUCGCAAAAAAAAAAAAACUGUUACAACGAAUUUUUGUAACAAGUGGAAAUCAGUGGAACGAAAAAACAAAACGAAGUAACGAGUCUUCCAAGUAGAAACGACAGCUACUACUGGCCGACUAAGAAAUAUAAAAGUGGUAACAGGUAUAGCGAAGAAACUCGUAUCUUUGCAUUUGCAUCCUAUUGCGAAGCUAUUAAGAGCAACAUUGUUGAAUAAAAACGAAGAACGUUGCAACAUGUGUGAAAUAUGAUGCGAAAUAUGUGAAAUAAUCGUCGUUGCAACGAUAAAAUCUGAUGCUCGAUCGUAAAGAGAGAAUUUGUGUACGGAUUUAUUAUUAAAAAAAAAAAAAAGAAGAAGAAGAAGAAGAAUAAAGAAAAAAAAAUGUUAACAAUUCAAUUAAAAUUCACUGAAGAUUCGAUUAUUGUGAUUCUUCAUGCCAAUCUCGUUAGAUUUAUAGCGGUAGUGACAUUUUGUUUAAUAUUUCGUUUAAUAAUAAAUCAUAUUCAAUUUAUGAAUAUCUACU